GGCGCACGGGUGCGUAACACGUAUGCAACCUACCUUUAACUGGGGUAUAGCUCAGAGAAAUCUGAAUUAAUCCCCCAUAACACUACGACAUGGCAUCAUGAUGUAGUUAAAGCUCCGGCGGUUAAGGAUGGGCAUGCGGUACAUUAGCUAGUUGGUGAGGUAAUGGCUCACCAAGGCUACGAUGUAUAGGGGGUCUGAGAGGAUGAUCCCCCACACUGGUACUGAGACACGGACCAGACUCCUACGGGAGGCAGCAGUAGGGAAUAUUGGUCAAUGGACGCAAGUCUGAACCAGCCAUGCCGCGUGAAGGAUGAAGGCCCUCUGGGUCGUAAACUUCUUUUAUUAGGGAAGAAACCUCAGGAUGCGUCCUGAGCUGACGGUACUUAAUGAAUAAGGAUCGGCUAACUUCGUGCCAGCAGCCGCGGUAAGACGAAGGAUCCAAGCGUUGUCCGGAUUUACUGGGUUUAAAGGGUGCGUAGGCGGAAAAUUAAGUCAGUGGUGAAAGCCCGCAGCUCAACUGUGGAACUGCCAUUGAAACUGAUUUUCUUGAAUAUAGCUGAGGCAGAUGGAAUAUAACAUGUAGCGGUGAAAUGCUUAGAUAUGUUAUAGAACACCGAUUGCGAAGGCAGUCUGCUAAACUAUUAUUGACGCUGAGGCACGAAAGCGUGGGGAGCGAACAGGAUUAGAUACCCUGGUAGUCCACGCCCUANACGUUGAUUACUCGCUGUUGGCGAUAUACUGUCAGUGGCUAAGCGAAAGCAUUAAGUAAUCCACCUGGGAAGUACGACCGCAAGGUUGAAACUCAAAGGAAUUGACGGGGG
rnacentral:rRNA from 1 species